CCUACCCUAAAGUCUGUAAGUCGGCGAAAUUAUUUUAUGUUUUUUGGACGUGCGUAGCUCAAUAGACUACCCUACCAUAAACGCUGCCAGCCAUGUCCCGUUACGGUUCAUUAGGCCACAUGGUCAGCGCGGUCCGGAAGGACAUUUUCGACUCUCAAAUUCUAAUUUACAAUACUCUUUCCCCCGUCGAAAAUGGGAGGACUCUGCGAGAAAAAUAACUCCACCCUCAACUGUGUAAGGAGUUACGCCUUCUCCGAAAAGUUUAUAUAUACUGCGGAAAGGCGUCAAAACGGAUAUAAACAGUCGAGCCUCCAAUUCUGCAUCAUCGAACAUUCUAUACUGAUUCCGUAACAUUGUAUUCAAUAGCAUUUCUGUAAUAUCACACAUAGUCUCCAUAGUUCACAUUAAACACCUUACCUCUUGCAAACACACUGUUGCAAGCAAUAUUUAUUCAUUUCACACCUAACCUAUCUCGCGACACUCCAUUUCACCUUACCCUUUGCAAAUAUUACCUCUUCGAAAGAUUUUCAAGCGAAAUAUCAGAAAAAUUUGUUCGAUGCAACUGGGUGAUUGACAGGUUUCGCGACUGUGAAAUUACUUAUUCAUAUGAAGGUAGGGUGCGAGUAUCGCGAUCAGCAGCUGCAGCUUAAUGUUACAGUAGUGUUAUUAAGAAAAUGACGGGGUGAAAGAAACGGCGAGAGAAGAAAAUUUUCAGAUGAAAGUUAAAUUUUUAUAGCCUUAUGCUAUGCGAAGUUACGAGGGAGGAUACUGUUCACGAUGCUCUCAGUCCGUUUACGUCCGCCAAGUAAUAUUAAUCUUUUGUACUGCUACGAAAUGUGAAUCCACGAGAGAAGGAAUUCUUUGAUAUUCCUCAGUCGAUUUACUUUCUUCAAAGGUACAUUUGGGGAUGGUGGAAUCUGGAGAUCCACGGGCACAAGAAUCUAGGUGUAUGGAUCGAGCAUACAGAGCUUCAGUUGCAUUAUGUCACCUAGUGUUAAUACCGACUCCUCAAUGCAGUCCGACAUAGCGCCGAUUGAUCUUGAAUGGAGACACGCUUCGAUGUAAUACUACAGUAUCGUGAGACCUCAUCAUGCAGUUUAAGCGAUGUUUUAGUCUUUUGACGUCCGCUUCCUACAGUUCAUCGAAAUGCGGUGCAUUAGGAGGCAGAAGUAAGUUCACGGUUCGCUCCAUGGGGUAUGGUACCGUUGCCGAAGCACUUUGUUGCCUUUGGGAAAUCGUUUCGAGACACAAAUCUCUUAUACGCCGCUAUGAAGAUGGCUAAACUAUAAUUGUUUAUAAACUCAAUCUGCUCAGCUUUUGUGGUCAAACAAAUAAAAACUACAAUAAGGUGAAGUAGGAUUUGUGUUCGGAAUCUGGUAAAGUACGGACUUGAAUUGGGACUGCCUAGACAACCCCAGUGUGAACAAAUGGGCUCUGCCUUUUCGGCGUGAUGUGCAAGCACUUCUAUAAGUUCCUGAGAUAUGGCAGCUUUAUCACGUGUACACACCAUGCACCGACGUAGGACAGUUUGAAUUACUAGUCCUUGCUCAGAGGAUCUAACAUUGGUUGCGGAGAUAAGUGAGUUGAAAGCCAGUAUGUAAGAAAUUUCGGAAGUUCUGCGUUGGUGAGUCACCCCUUUGUGCGGCUUAAUUUCUCCGUGUCAAGAAACGGAUACCAGAACAUCAGAUGACUCGAUUUUGAAACGGUUCUGCCUUCCUUGAGGAACUACAAUUCGCUGGAAAGACCUCGUGCCCCAACCAGAAUAAAGCAGAAUUCUGAAUCUCGAUUGGAUUAUUCUUGCAAUUAUUGAACGCCGAUGUUGAUGAAAUUUAUAUGUGAUGUAAAAAACGAAAAAGUAUUUGACAUGUGUUUUCUUUUACGUGCGAAUAUCCAUUUUGAAGUGGUGAAAAUAACCCUUAAAAUUGAGAUCGAAAA
rnacentral:lncRNA from 1 species